UACGGAGGGUGCAAACGUUGCUCGGAAUUAUUGGGCGUAAAGGGUAGGUAGGUGGUGAUAAAAGUCUGGCGUGAAAUCCCUGAGCUUAACUCAGGACGUGCUUUGGAAACUUUAUCACUAGAGUACUAGAGAGGUUCGUGGAAUUCAUGGUGUAGCGGUGAAAUGCGUAGAGAUCAGGAGGAACAUCAGCGGCGAAGGCGGCGAACUGGAUAGUAACUGACACUCAACUACGAAAGCGUGGGGAGCAAACAGG
rnacentral:rRNA from 1 species